GAAAGAUUACUCCUAGUUCUAAAUAUGGGGUCUACAUGAAUGGGGCAGUUGACCCAUGCUUUUGCUUUGAGAUUAGGAUAUUAAUUUAUUCUCAAUAGUUACAUUUUUAUAAGUGUUUGACUAGAUUUAUACUAUAAAUAUAUUCUCUUAAUUUCAUCACACAGAUGACAGAUCAACCAAAGGUAGUUUACUUUGGUAAUAAUUAAAUUGAG
rnacentral:misc_RNA from 1 species